AGAGACCCAAGUUGAUAGUUUCCGGCGUAAAGAGUGGUUAAGAUAAAAUUUAAACUAGAGCCGAACGCUUUCAGAGCUGUUAUACGCCCCGAAAGUAAGAAGUUCAAUCACGAAAGUGGCUUUAUAAUACUGAACCCACGAAAGCUAUGAAACAAACUGGGAUUAGAUACCCCACUAUGCCUAGCCCUAAACAUUGAUAGUAUAAUACAUCUACUAUCCGCCUGGGUACUACGAGCACCA
rnacentral:rRNA from 1 species